rnacentral:rRNA from 1 species
UGGGGAAUAUUGCACAAUGGGCGCAAGCCUGAUGCAGCCAUGCCGCGUGUGUGAAGAAGGCCUUCGGGUUGUAAAGCACUUUCAGCGGGGAGGAAGGCGAUAAGGUUAAUAACCUCAUCGAUUGACGUUACCCGCAGAAGAAGCACCGGCUAACUCCGUGCCAGCAGCCGCGGUAAUACGGAGGGGGCAAGCGUUAAUCGGAAUUACUGGGCGUAAAGCGCACGCAGGCGGUCUGUCAAGUCGGAUGUGAAAUCCCCGGGCUCAACCUGGGAACGGCAUUCGAAAAUGGCAGGCUAGAGUCUUGUAGAGGGGGGUAGAAUUCCAGGUGUAGCGGUGAAAUGCGUAGAGAUCUGGAGGAAUACCGGUGGCGAAGGCGGCCCCCUGGACAAAGACUGACGCUCAGGUGCGAAAGCGUGGGGAGCAAACAGG